AAAAAAAAAAAAAAAUGAGGUGGUGCUGGGGAUAUGACUCAGUAGAAGAGCAUCCCUGGAUUGCUUCCCCAAUACAAAAAAAAAAAAAAAACCCUGCCCCCUGGGCCAGUUACAUACCACCAAUCACAAAGGCUAAAACUAGUCCAUUCUUCAUUUCUAUGAAUCAUUCACAAGAGAACAAAGGCAUCAAACUAGACACAAAAAGAUUUUUAAAAAAAAAAAAAAAAAGGAUAGGAUGACCAACUUGUCCCUGUAUGCCUGGGCCUUUUUGUUUAGCACAGAAAGACCCACAUCUCUGUAAAUCCUCUGUCCCAGGGAAACCAGGGCAGUUUUCUCUGUUUCCUCUAGGGAGGAAAAAAGAUCCUCUGGAAAUAACAUAAAGCACCCUCUCUGAUGCUCAGAAGGGCUUGUGCAUCAAUUAGACAAAGGCCUGGAUAUUAGGGGAAUUUUAAAGAAGUCAUUUUAUUUAGCAGCUAGAUGAAGAUUCAAUGCAAAUAUUUAAAUACUGUUAAAAGCAAAUAAAGCAUUUCCAUCAAACAGUCAUGACUUCACAGUCUUCACGAAUCAAAGAACUUUAUAUGAAAUUCAUUUUUAUUUAUUUAUUUUAUCCUCUAAUAAUUAAACUGAUUAUGUAUUUUAAUAUUAAGAAUAGCUAUAUUUCAGUUGUAUAGCAGACCUCAGUUUUUAUGAUGGAUACUAAGUUCUACAAUUAAUACUGUUUUCCUUUUCACAUUGGUUACUAAAAGCCAAAGACCAAAAUUUCAUUCAAAUCCUCAAGUAAAACAAAUAAGAGAAAUGAAAUCUAUUCUGAGUAUUAACUUUGCCCAUAGUUUUAAUUUAUUUUUUUCUUAGUCUUAUUUUCCUUUCUUAUUUAUUUAUUUAUUUUGGUACUAGGGAUGGAACCCAGGGGCACUCAACCACUGACCUUAAUCCCAGCCCUUUUUAUAUUUAUUUAUUUAUUUAUUUAUUUUAUUUGAGACAGGGUCUCACUAAGUUGCCCAGGCUGGCCUUGAACUUGUGAUCCUCCUAUCUCAGUCUCCUGAGUUGCUGGAAUUACAGGCAUGCACCACCACACCUGGAGCCUUAUUUUCUCUAAUUUUUUUGAUUUAGGAAAAAAGUUACAUGAUAUUUAUUCAUGUGUUCUACAAAUAAUCAUUGAACAAGCAGCACUUCAAGUGCUAGGGACAGAACAAUGAAUAAAACCAAUUCCUUGCUCUCAUGGAGCUGGCUUUCUAGCAAGGAAAGACAGGCCAAAAAAAAAAAAUGAAAUGAAACAAAAGUACAUUGGAAGGUGUUAGGUGUCGUGAGUUGAGAAAGUGAGGAGAUGGAGACUGAGAUACCAAUAGCACACAGAAAGGCUGCCAUUGUGGAAGGACGGCCUCUUAGGUCAGGGGACAUUGGACUCAAUGAAUGAGGUGUGAGGAUACCUGGGGGAAGAUUGUACCAAGCAGAGGGAAUAGCAUGUGCAAAGGCCCUGAGGUGGUAGGUUGAUGGUGUGUUCAGUGCUAAGAAUGCAGUUUGGCUGCAGGGAAAGUAAGAGGGGAAAAUGAUGGGACCUGAGAGCAGAGAGAUAGGGAAGUCAGACCAGGGAGGAUAUUGCAGAUCCUGGAAAGGACUUCAGAGUUUUAUUCUGAGGAGAUGGGAGCUGUCAGUUUUGGAGAUCAUGAUCUAACAUAUAAGAGACAUCUGACAGCUAUUUCAAUAAUGGACUGAGAGUGAGGGGAGAAGCAGGAAGACCAGAAAGGAGGCAACUUGUGGUGAGCCGCUUCUGCCGUUUCUGCAGACUAUGGUCGCCAUUACAAGAUGACGCUGGCUUCACUGUGGUCUGUGACAAACAACUUCUUAUCUGGGAAAGUUGGCACAUGAUUUUUCACCACCCUGUGAGAAAGCUCCACGCGGCAGCUUUGCAUUGGGGCUUGGGAUGCUUUAUUAAGGCUGGGAGGGGCAUCCGAGAGAGAGAAGAAGAAAUAUCCAGGGCCUGAAUAAACUGUUGAAAGAAGAUUCCCGAGUUGCGUCUUCCUUGCGGGCAAGGGGUCGCGACAGCAACUGAAUAGUCUUCCAGAACAUGCAAACAGGAUGGUAACAGUGGAAGCUGUCAACAGUGGUAUUUUUGGCACAUUUUGAAGGUAAGACCAGCAGGAUGUGCUAAGGAUUCAACAGCAGGUAUAAACAACUCUGAAAAGCUGAAAAUGACAUUGAUGGGGAGUAGCAUGGCCUACUGCAAUGGUCCUUGCAGCCAUCUGGGGAAUGGAGAAGACUGUCAGUGCUUGGCCUACCUCCUGGGAAGUCUGGCUUUAUUCUGUGGUAGAACCCUACAUUGUAUUGUUUGAAAGCUUCUCCAGGAGACAGAACCACUGGGAGAGUACAAAAAGCACCGGUUACGAAUCAGACCACCUGAGUGUGAAUCUCUCCUCUGCCAUUUCCUAGAAUGUGACUUCAGGGCUUCAGAUCUCGGGAAAUAUGGACUAAAAACACACAAAGCCAAGAAGGGCAGGCAGGGCAAUCAAGGAUGAGUGAACUUGAAGGCCCACUGGUCAAUGAUGAGGACCAGGAAUGACCCCUGUGGGUGUUCAUGAUGGAUUCGAGAAGCAGUUGUCAAGAGUAAUUUUGAGGAUGUGCUGAGAAGGCAACACCAGGAGAUACAGAAUUGCCAUCCAGAGCAGCCUGAGCUCGGCUCCAAUCUCCCUCCAGAAACAGGAUGCCCUCUCUUACUUCAGCCCAGCAACUCACAUCGACCCAGUGUAUGAAACCCAGGAUGGGUUCCUUCCUCAAGUCCCACAGCUGUGGUGCAAGUGGAGCAGGUAGGGGCAGGCUGCAACAAAUCCUAGGUUUCUAUGUCCCUUUUACGUAUCUCUAACGAAUAAACCCAUUUUACACAGCCUGUUGUCUACAGGUGUGUUCUGCCUCUCUGCAUUAGGGAGCCAGUGCACCAUGAACUUGCUUCACGCACCCUAGUUGCAACAGCAUCAUGGAAGCCAAGCAUGGAAAGUUCUGGAAAGGCUAGGAUGAGCCUCAGGCCCCAGUGAUCCGGAGAGGCUUCCUGGUAAACAACACGUGAUCUGCAAAAGAAGCCUCUCUCAGGAGAAGGAAGGGAUGACUCCAGACUGCAGGAGAGGGGGAGAAGAUAAGCAAAAGAAUCAGGAAGUCAGUUUCUGCUGCUUCCCAGAAACUUGGCAAUGAGGAGGAGGACUGUGACUUUACCCUAGAAGUGCAGCAAGGUGCCCAAAGCUUCAAGAGAAGGCAGGCCCAUGCACAUGGGGAAGCAUGAGGGGAAGAGGGAGAAGGAAGGCAGAGGACAGGGGAUCACAGGCCCAGGACAAAUACUGGAUCUGAGCCAGGGAAGGGGCUUCAAAGACAGAAGAACACAUUUUCCUCUGCAAAGGUAAAAACUGAGGACUUGGAAACUGAGGUAGAUGAGGCCUAGAAAGGAUCAGACUGGAGGUCAAACACAAGUGGGCUUGCGCUCUGACUUGUCUGUUUCCAGGAUGUGUGGAUCUGGAUAGAUCAUGGCAGACUGCAGUCAUCUUCUUCACGUACACACAGCUUUCCUUUUCUUUAUGGACCUUCCCCACCCCACGCCCUGCCCCUGACAGGCUCUCUCUAAGUUGCCCAGGCUGGCCUGGAAUUUGUCAUCUUCCUGUCUCAGCUUCCCAAGUAGCUGGGAUUAUAUGCAUGCACCACCACAUCCAGCUUCAUAUAUAGGGUUGUUUUUCUGUUGAGGGCCACAGCCGAGUCGGGAUGACGCAUGGCAUUUUUGCCAGAACGGAGUGGUUGAGAGGUGAUGCCAACAAGCCACUGAGAUGAUAAUGGUUAUGUUAAGCUGUGUAUAUUAGACCCCUGCUGUCCGCCUCGGCCUGCUACUUUGGAGUUCUCACGGGGAUUCCCGGAGAGUUCCCAUUGGUUGGGGAAGUGCCGGAGGAGGGAUUUCCGGGUUGGUGGUUCCGAGAGGAGCCGCAUGGCGUUCGGGAGAGUUCCCGGGAAGUGUGUGUAGAGUGCCGGUGAGAGUUUGGGA